AGAUUGAACGCUGGCGGCAUGCCUUACACAUGCAAGUCGAACGGCAGCACGGGAGCAAUCCUGGUGGCGAGUGGCGAACGGGUGAGUAAUACAUCGGAACGUGCCCAAUCGUGGGGGAUAACGCAGCGAAAGCUGUGCUAAUACCGCAUAAGAUCUACGGAUGAAAGCAGGGGAUCGCAAGACCUUGCGCGAAUGGAGCGGCCGAUGGCGGAUUAGGUAGUUGGUGAGGUAAAGGCUCACCAAGCCUUCGAUCUGUAGCUGGUCUGAGAGGACGACCAGCCACACUGGGACUGAGACACGGCCCAGACUCGUACGGGAGCAGCAGUAGGAAUAUGGACAAGUGGACGAAGCCUGAUCCAGCAAUGCCGCGUGAGUGAUGAAGCCUUAGGUUGUAAAGCUACUUUACCGAG
rnacentral:rRNA from 1 species